AUGGAGAUGUUGGUCUCGACAAGGACGAUGAUGAUGACAUGGAGAAUGUGUAACAUGAAACUCGAUGAACAUGUUGAAGUACGUGCAGGUGGUAAGAAGGACAAGGCUGCACCAGAUGUCCCCCCACCGGAGAAAGUCAUUGAACAGACAGUUGCGAGAGACAAGGGGGUGUCGCCCUCAAAGAGGGGCAGGGCUCCAGAGGAUGUUGGGCAGGGCUCUGUUGGCAAGAGGUCUAGGACCGAUCCCUUAGUUGCUAGGAGGAGUGAGGCGACAGCUGGUGGACGAGUAGUUAUGAAGAAACAAGCACCAACGCCAACCCGUGUUUCUGCCCGAUUGAACAAGGGUGCCCCCAUUGCUGGUGACACCCCUUCCACUAGGUUGUCUCCUCGUACGUCGACGUCCAACACCGGGGAUCCUGUCGUAUUGGUAGACUUGAGGAAGACAGUCAAGAAGGUGAAGAAGACUACUACACGCGUGAGCAAGUAG
rnacentral:rRNA from 1 species